UGAAAAGCGUUGAUAAGGAAAAGUAGAAUGAAAUCAUUCUUUCCAGAGAGCUUCGGUAGCUGAGAAGAAGCAAGAAUCUUCAUUUGAACAAUGGCCUUUGAGCUGCGCCCUGAACUUAUCGGAUGAUAAUAGUAGGCGGCGCCGGGAGUUGAUUCUCGUUAUUACAAUCACAGUAUAAGAGCAUAUGCUCCGUACUUGUAGAGGUUAACUAUGUGAGUAGUUAACGAAAUAAGGUGGUACCGCGACGGUUAAUAUAGCCACGCCCUUAUC
rnacentral:ncRNA from 1 species